GAAAAGCCUAUAGAAGCUGUUCAAAACAAUGCUCAUUUGAGAUAGGCAAAGGAAUAAGGAAAGGGCUCAGUAAGAUCCAGGAGGGCAGGAGCACCAUGGCUACCUGAAAUCACCCUACUGGCACCGCUUUUGGCUUUACUCCUCUCUCCUGGUGAGAGAUUCUUCAGAGCUCUGUCAGGAUGGACGUCUGAUGACUGAAGACACUUGUUGCUGGGCAAUUGUUUCUGGCACUACAGCCCAGACUUGGUAAUGCCGUGCCCUGCAGUAGAAGCAGAAAUGAAUGCCCACCAACUGCCCUCGGUCAUCAAAGCCAUGGUGCUAUAAUUCCAUGCUGCCCAUCCCGUGCUAAUCACAGAAAUCAUGGACAGUUUGGUCAAAAGAGACGCGAAAAGGUCAUCUGGUCCAUCCCUCACACUGAGGUGGGAUUAACCCUCUCCUUCUGCAAGAACCUGACACGAUGGAAUGGCCCAACCCAACCAAGGUGCCAUGAGGGGGAGGAGGGCACAGGAAAGCUGAGCCCUGGGAACAGCAGCUCCAGGCAUGGGCUGACCACGUCCCCUACAGUCAGGGGCAUUGGCACACACAGAGCCUCACUUCCCUCCCACAGCUGGAGAUGAGGAUUAUUCUGCAAAUCCGGGAGCCUGCACAGCACAACCCGGCACUGAUUCAUGAACUGGAGCUUCUGGAGAGAUACCGAUGGGCCAAAAGCAGGCACACAACCCAGGGAGCUCUCAGGCUCCCCCAGUGUGUCACACUCAUGGGGUGAGAUGUAAGAUGAAGGCUUCCCUAUGGAGAAUGUAGUUUCAGGGAGGGGGAUUUAGUUUGAGAUCCGCUUGCCUGAGACUACAGAGCAGCUCAGCCCACCAUAGAGGAGAGACGCUGAAGAGAUUGCUUUGGCUCAUCACCUCUGACUGUCAUAGGAAGCCAUGUGUAGUCCCAAAUUUGGGUCACCGAAUGCAGAAGAAACUCAGAUUUCAUUGAGAGAAGGUGGAUUUCUAGAAUUGUUCUGAAAAGCGGUAUCCCCUUUUAGGUGUCCCUACGUUGCAUACUUAAAAUGUCCAACUCAUGUUGGCCUCAGCCAUGACCUGCUUCGUGCUGAGGGCUGAGAUUGAGGUGUGAAAUCUGUUUGCAAGGAGCUGAAAGCUGCUUAGCAUGGUGAUGUGCAAACAUGCGGAUAUGGAGGUGCAAACAGGGGAUGCUGUGGUUUAAAACCAGGUCAGAAGGGGAGCUCACAUCCACUUCCAGAGGAAAACCAAACUGCUUCCCACUGAACGUGUCCCCCUUCUCAGCAUCACUCCAUUUCUGUUGGCUUACUACAAAGUCCCCAAAAUUAAACAGAAACUCCCGACUGUCAAAUCCCAUGACACAUAAAUAGAGGUGUCGAAUGGCUGCUAUAAAAAUAAGAGCAAUCUCCCAAAUAUCUCCAUGGAAUGCAGCAGUGCAUCCCAGAACUGACCUGGGUUGUUUAUGGCCUGUAACUCCAUCAGCACCAUCAGGGCAGAGCAGAUGAGGCUGUGCUGCUGUGCGGAGCCUUCCCUCUUUCUUGGAAGGGAACCUCUAUGAGAUUUGUAGGUACAUUAUCUGAAACCAUUGCAAGGGAGCUGCAUGGUUUGCACUUCCAGUAGGAAAUCUGCACCAAUUACAUUGUGAGAUGAGAAAAAAGUAUAAAUAUUGAUCAGAAUAAUAAGAAGUAAUUGAGGCAGUGAUUGGACGCGGUGUAUUUUCACAUCCCUUCAUAGCAUUAUCAGAGCCACUGCACUGACCCGGCCGCGGCACCGCUGGUGUAAAGCUGACCAUUUACACUUUUUGCUGGCAAGAGAGGACUUGGUGAACUUGCAAACAUAAUGCAUAUGUGGAGGGCUGAGCAAGAGCAGAAAAGAAAAAGGGAUCGACAGCUGGAAAGCAUAGAAAAUUCGGAAUGUACGUUAUUACUUUGGGCGCCGCUGACGGAAAGUCAAACACUGAAAAGCAAACAGCGAAUGUUAGGAAGGCACAUGGACCUGUCGGUUAUUGCAGGAAGGCUGCAAUGGCUGUGACUGAGGGGCAGCGGGGGAGCAGUGGGUCUGGGGGCUGCUGCACUGCUGCUGCACGCCUCAGGGCUGCACUUCCAUCACAGACCUGCACCCACAGCAGCAAGGUGCAUGGAGACAUUGGUCCAGUAUGGGGGUGAGGUGGUCUUAAAGUAAAUGCAGACGUAGAACAGAACCAGAUUAACAUCACAAUAGCAUCGUGACGAGUGUGAGUGAAGGGUUGGGGUCCCAUUGGAACUGCCGUAUGGAUGGCAGUGGUGAGGUGAGGGCUGGGUGGUGGCUCAGAGCCCCGCUGUCACCCAGCACUGCUGUCUGCACUGAACAGAGCGCUCCCCAAUGAGUCCCGCUGUGGAUUCCGCCUGUAGGGAAGUGGUUAAAUCCGCCACCAGAGCUGUCAGCAGUUGACUGCCAUCAGUUGCACUGAUCCCAAAGCAGUCCAGGGAAUUGCUUGGCACUCACAGGCUGCAAACAGCAGCCUUCCUCUUCCCCCCGGCACCCACAGUGUGAGUCACUGCAAUUAGCAGAACACUCAAACUCCCAUCAGAUUGCCUGUCCGCAAUACCACAUGCGUGAUGCUUGCACAGCCUCACACUGCUGAGAGCUCAGGACCCCGUGGGGAGGUCAACCCAACCUUGUGCAGGUCAAAGCAGCUUGGGAAUCUCAGCAGGAGGAUGGAAACACUCUGUGCACAGCUCACAGUUUGUCUGGGUGAUGGCCCUGUGGGGAUGCAGAUGAUGAAGGUUUGCUCCUCUGUCACCCAAACCCCGGACAUGGGGGGUGCAGGCAGCCCAGACCUCUGUGCAGCUCACAGAAUCACAGAACCAUAGAAUGGUUGGGUUGGAAGGGACCUCAAGGAUCAUGAAGCU
rnacentral:lncRNA from 1 species